rnacentral:miRNA from 1 species
AGGAUCGAUGAACGGAGCAUU